AAAAUCCGUCGACUUUAGAAA
rnacentral:tRNA from 9 species